rnacentral:rRNA from 1 species
UACGUAGGGUGCGAGCGUUGUCCGGAAUUACUGGGCGUAAAGCGCACGUAGGCGGCUUUCUAAGUCGGGGGUGAAAUCCUGGAGCUCAACUCCAGAACUGCCUUCGAUACUGGAGAGCUUGAGUCCGGGAGAGGUGAGUGGAACUGCGAGUGUAGCGGUGGAAUGCGCAGAUAUCGAGGAGGAACACCGGUGGCGAAGGCGGUUCUCUGGGAAUUACCUGACGCUGAGGAGCGAAAGCAUGGGGAGCGAACAGG